rfam:Pantoea sp. AS1 25__len__192833, whole genome shotgun sequence.
CCCAGAGGUAUUGAUAGGUGCGAAAACGCGCUGCUCCAGGCAGCGAUAUCCGCAAGGAUAAUCCACCCUGUUUAUUGCACCAACCCACGCGGAUGCGUGGGUUUUUUUU